rnacentral:rRNA from 1 species
UGGGGAAUCUUGCGCAAUGCGCGAAAGCGUGACGCAGCAACGCCGCGUGGGGGAAGAAGGCCUUCGGGUUGUAAACCCCUUUCAGUUGGGACGAAGGUUCGCCCGUUAACAGCGGGUUGGACUGACGGUACCUUCAGAAGAAGCCCCGGCUAACUACGUGCCAGCAGCCGCGGUAAUACGUAGGGGGCAAGCGUUGUCCGGAAUCAUUGGGCGUAAAGAGCGUGUAGGCGGCUUGGUAAGUCCGCUGUGAAAGUCCAGGGCUCAACCCUGGAAAGCCAGUGGAAACUGCCAAGCUAGAGUCCGGAAGAGGCGAGUGGAACUCCUGGUGUAGCGGUGAAAUGCGCAGAUAUCAGGAAGAACACCAAUGGCGAAGGCAGCUCGCUGGGACGCGACUGACGCUGAGACGCGAAAGCGUGGGGAGCAAACAGGAUUAGAUACCCCCGUAGUCC